rnacentral:rRNA from 1 species
CAGUAGCCACGGGAAUACGGAGGGCGCGAGCGUUACCCGGAUUUACUGGGCGUAAAGGGCGUGUAGGCGGCCUGGGGCGUCCCAUGUGAAAGGCCACGGCUCAACCGUGGAGGAGCGUGGGAUACGCUCAGGCUAGAGGGUGGGAGAGGGUGGUGGAAUUCCCGGAGUAGCGGUGAAAUGCGCAGAUACCGGGAGGAACGCCGAUGGCGAAGGCAGCCACCUGGUCCACUUCUGACGCUGAGGCGCGAAAGCGUGGGGAGCAAACCGGAUUAGAUACCCCAGUAGUCCCUGUCUCUUAUAC